GGCAGUUGUGAGGGAUUGAUUAUCAAAACACUAACUAAAGAUGCUACAUAUGAGCCUUCAAAGCGGUCAAAUAACUGGCUUAAACUGAAGAAGGACUACAUGGAGAGUAUUGGCGACUCACUGGAUCUGGUACCAAUUGGUGCUUUUCAUGGUCGGGGGAAACGUACUGGUGUUUACGGAGCCUUUCUCCUAGCUUGUUAUGAUAGCAACAACGAGGAGUUUCAGAGCAUCUGUAAAAUCGGAACUGGGUUUUCUGAAUUACAGCUUGAGGAACGCUCUUCCAGCCUUCGUUCUAAAGUUAUUCCUAAACCAAAGUCAUAUUACAGGUAUGGGGAAACCAUCAAUCCAGAUGUUUGGUUUGAACCUACCGAGGUCUGGGAAGUGAAAGCUGCUGAUCUUACUAUCAGCCCUGUCCACCGUGCUGCCCAAGGUAUCGUGGAUCCCGCGAAGGGAAUUUCAUUACGAUUUCCACGUCUGAGCCGUGUACGAGAAGACAAGAAGCCUGAGGAGGCCUCAUCAGCAGAGAUGGUAGCGGAUAUGUAUAACGCUCAGAAGCACAAUCAAAAAAACAAUCAGG
rnacentral:misc_RNA from 1 species